AGUGAACGCUGGCGGUAGGCCUAACACAUGCAAGUCGAACGACAGCACAGUAAGAGCUUGCUCUUACGGGUGGCGAGUGGCGGACGGGUGAGGAAUACAUCGGAAUCUACUUUUUCGUGGGGGAUAACGUAGGGAAACUUACGCUACUACCGCAUACGACCUACGGGUGAAAGCAGGGGAUCUUCGGACCUUGCGCGAUUGAAUGAGCCGAUGUCGGAUUAGCUAGUUGGCGGGGUAAAGGCCCACCAAGGCGACGAUCCGUAGCUGGUCUGAGAGGAUGAUCAGCCACACUGGAACUGAGACACGGUCCAGACUCCUACGGGAGGCAGCAGUAGGGAAUAUUGGACAAUGGGCGCAAGCCUGAUCCAGCCAUACCGCGUGAGUGAAGAAGGCCUUCGGGUUGUAAAGCCCUUUUGUUGGGAAAGAAAAGCAGCAGGUUAAUACCCCGCUGUUCUGACGGUACCCAAAGAAUAAGCACCGGCUAACUUCGUG
rnacentral:rRNA from 1 species